CGCAAUUACCCACUCCCGGCACGGGGAGGUAGUGACGAAAAAUAACGAUACGGGACUCAUCCGAGGCCCCGUAAUCGGAAUGAGUAUACUCUAAAUCCUUAUACGAGUAUCAAUUGGAGGGCAAGUCUGGUGCCAGCAGCCGCGGUAAUUCCAGCUCCAAUAGCGUAUAUUAAAGUUGUUGCGGUUAAAAAGCUCGUAGUUGGAUCUGUGUCCCGCACCGUCGGUUCACCGCCUGUCGGUGUUCAACUGGUGUGUAUGCGGGACGUCCUGCCGGUGGCGGUCCGGUUCCCCGUGGGUACGUAGGGGCGUCCUUGCGCACGCUUGCGUCGUCCCCGAAGGCCUGCGCGGUGUAUCCGGCCGCCUUUUCAAUCCCGUCGCGGUGCUCUUCACUGAGUGUCGAGGCGGGCCGGCACGUUUACUUUGAACAAAUUAGAGUGCUUUAAGCAGGCCCUGUCCCGCCUGUAUGUUGUGUGCAUGGAAUAAUGGAAUAGGACCUCGGUUCUAUUUUGUUGGUUUUCGGAAUCUGAGGUAAUGAUCAAUGGGGACAGGCGGGGGCAUUCGUAUUGCGACGUUAGAGGUGAAAUUCUUGGAUCGUCGCAAGACGGACCGAAGCGAAAGCAUUUGCCAAGUAUGUUCUCGUCGAUCAAGAACGAAAGUUAGAGGUUCGAAGGCGAUCAGAUACCGCCCUAGUUCUAACCAUAAACUAUGCCUGCCAGCGAUCCGCCGAAGUUCCUCCGAUGACUCGGCGGGCAGCUUCCGGGAAACCAGAGCUUUUGGGUUCCGGGGGAAGUAUGGUUGCAAAGCUGAAACUUAAAGGAAUUGACGGAAGGGCACCACCAGGAGUGGAGCCUGCGGCUUAAUUUGACUCAACACGGGAAAACUCACCAGGCCCGGACACCGGAAGGAUUGACAGAUUGAGAGCUCUUUCUUGAUUCGGUGGGUGGUGGUGCAUGGCCGUUCUUAGUUGGUGGAGCGAUUUGUCUGGUUAAUUCCGAUAACGAACGAGACUCUAGCCUACUAACUAGGCGUACCCGGUAUCCACAAUCGUGCUACCGGCGGUCAAAUUUCUUCUUAGAGGGACAGGCGGCUUCUAGCCGCAAGAGACUGAGCAAUAACAGGUCUGUGAUGCCCUUAGAUGUCCUGGGCCGCACGCGCGCUACACUGAAGGAAUCAGCGUGUCUUCCCUGUCCGAAAGGACCGGGUAACCCGCUGAACCUCCUUUGUGCUAGGGAUUGGGGCUUGCAAUUGUUCCCCAUGAACGAGGAAUUCCCAGUAAGCGCGAGUCAUAAGCUCGCGUUGAUUACGUCCCUGCCCUUGUACACACCGCCCUUCG
rnacentral:rRNA from 1 species